GACAGAGGGUGCAAACGUUGUUCGGAAUUACUGGGCGUAAAGCGCACGUAGGCGGGUUGUUAAGUCAGGGGUGAAAUCCUGGAGCUCAACUCCAGAACUGCCUUUGAUACUGGCAACCUAGAGACUGGAAGAGGUUAGUGGAAUUCCCAGUGUAGAGGUGAAAUUCGUAGAUAUUGGGAAGAACACCAGUGGCGAAGGCGGCUAACUGGUCCAGCACUGACGCUGAGGUGCGAAAGCGUGGGGAGCAAACAGG
rnacentral:rRNA from 1 species